GAGCGCGUGCCUCCGCGCGCGCGCCGCCGAGACCACCUGCAGGAGUAGCAGCAGGGCGAGCCUCCAAGGCGCGGGUCUGCCGCGAGCCCACGGUCCCCCCAUGGCGGCCGUCCCCCCUUCAGCUCUCGGGCCAGUUUUCUGCCAGGUGGCCGUAAACGUGCUGUGGAGCAGAAUGUGCAGAAAUGGAAGGGACAGACCGACCAACACAGACAACCAACAAAGGUCUCUUGUAAACCGCAACACGACGUCAGUGAAUCAAAACUCAGGAUUUAAAUUUGGAAUCAAAUGUCAAAGUACCUCGUCUACUGGAUGGGAGUGGCCUGUAUAAUCAGGAACCAAGCCAGUGGCAAAGCAAAACGGGAUGUGGUGCUGUCAACAUAAAAUGACGAGAACAUCAACAAGAAUACAUUUUUCACCAUCUCGGAUGUAACAACUAGAACCACAAAAUAUCUUCAGCUUCCACCAACCUGUUCGCAUAAAAAGGGACUCCUUGCAUCUCUCUCCCCACUCUUUUAUCAGUUUUGUGUUUUCCAUAUUCCUGUGUAACCCUCCUGUCUCUCCCACACUCUGCUCCAUAAUUACAACCCUGGACUCAAGCAGCGAUUGUAAACACUUCUCUGUUUUGCUCUCAAUUUUGCUCCCUCUCCCACCAAGCAAAUUACCCAUUGGUUACUAUAGAGACAUGUUUAUGAAAUGAAAUGCAUUUGCUGUUUUGUACUUCCUCCUCUGUCCUUCUCCCACCUCCCCUUAUUUUUCUAGUAUUUCUGCCCCUAUCUAACUCUCCACAGUAUCCACUUGAUGCAGGGCUCUUCUGUUUUAGCUAUAAUAUCUACUUCAGGUGUAUUUCUGAUGAUAAUCAAGUCUCCCCAAACUAAUCCUGUUUGUUAGUUUCAGUUCAGUGUGUGUUGCCCUUUGGCCAGCAGUUCUGUCAAUCAGUUGUUUUCAGGCAGUUUUUUUUUUUUUUUUUUAAAUUUUAUAAAAAGAUAUUGUAAUAAAACAGCCUAGCAACAGUAUGCAACAAUAGGUACUGAUUACAGCCUUCUAGAAUUGGAAAGUGAGCUAUGAAACGUUUUCUGAGAAACAGUGGUGAUUUGCUUCCUGUGAAACAGUGGGUGUACAUUAAAAAAUAUAGACAAAUAGCCACACAUCAUUAUAACGAUCUUUUCCACAGCCAGUUACCCCUCCUGUACUCACGGACCCCUUGCUGCUUGCAUUUCCCACCCAACUCAUCUUUUACAGUCUCUUCCCAGUUGUCCUAUUUGGUUCUUCUUGAAACCUUCUUCCCUGUCUCCCCUGUUACCUUCCUCUCUCCACAUUCUGACGAUUAGUGUACGCUGAUUGUUCUACUGCUCAGAACAACAGAGUCAACAUGAGGGCUGCUGUAAAUAUUCAUAUCUCCUUCUGUUGCCUCUCUGUGUCUCCAUGUGUCUCCCUCUCAAAGUCAAAUCCAAAUGGGCUCUAUUGACAUGACAGGAAAGGCUCACUGUUGCCAAAGCUGUUCAAACAACACAAUAGAGAGACAAUGGAGUGCAGUGCCAUGACAGCGAUGACAUAAUGUAUACCACCCCACUCCUGUCUCCCUGCCAUUUACUGCCUCUCAU